rnacentral:rRNA from 1 species
CAGUCGCCGCGGGAAUACAGAGGGUGCAAGCGUUAAUCGGAAUUACUGGGCGUAAAGCGCGCGUAGGUGGUUUGUUAAGUUGAAUGUGAAAUCCCCGGGCUCAACCUGGGAACUGCAUCCAAAACUGGCAAGCUAGAGUAGGGCAGAGGGUGGUGGAAUUUCCUGUGUAGCGGUGAAAUGCGUAGAUAUAGGAAGGAACACCAGUGGCGAAGGCGACCACCUGGGCUCAUACUGACACUGAGGUGCGAAAGCGUGGGGAGCAAACAGGAUUAGAUACCCCCGUAGUCCCUGUCUCUUAUAA